rnacentral:rRNA from 1 species
GGNCAGNGUUAAUUGGCNAACNGAAAACCUUCCUGGCUUGACCUCGUGGUAAACCCGAAAGGGUGCGAUCCUKGUUUCMGGAANCCCGCCRRRGUUCUGCAUGGCUGUCGUCAGCUCGUKUCGUGAGAUGUKGGUUAAGUCCCGCAACGAGCGCAACCCCUGCCUUUAGUUGCCAGCGAGUCAUGUCGGGCACUUUUAAGGGGACCGCCUCGGAUAACGGGGAGGAAGGUGGGGAUGACGUCAAGUCAGCAUGGCCUUUAUGUCCAGGGCUACACACGUGCUACAAUGGGCGGUACAGAGGGACGCAAGACCGCGAGGUGGAGCAAAUCCCUAAAACCGUCCUCAGUUCGGAUCGCAGGCUGCAAUUCGCCUGCGUGAAGUUGGAAUCGCUAGUAAUCGCGGAUCAGCUACGCCGCGGUGAAUACGUUCCCGGGCCUUGUACACACCGCCCGUCACAUCACGAAAGCUGGUUGUGCCCGAAGUCGUUGCGCUAACCCGCAAGGGAGGCAGGCGCCUAAGGCAUGGUCGGUGAUUGGGGUGAAGUNGUAACAAGGUANCNNNAGGGC